rnacentral:lncRNA from 1 species
UGUCUCUCUCUCUGUCUCUCUCUCUCUGUAUCUCUCUGUCUCUGUCUCUCUCUCUGUCCCUCUCUCUGUCUCUCUCUGUCUCUCUCUCUGUGUCUCUCUGUCUCCCUCUCUGUCUCUCUCUGUCUCUCUCUCUCUGUCUCCCUCUCUGUCUCUCUCUGUCUCUCUCCUUCUCUGUCUCUGCCUCUCCACCCUCCUUUCCUGGCCCCCUCCCCACCAGGGCCGUCUCUCUAGCACUUAGCUGUCGGGGGGGUUUCAGGCUGGCGAAGGAGGGUAGCAGGAUGCCUGGGUGAAGGCUUGGGCUCGCUUGUCUCUUUCUGACUCAGCAGGGAGCAGCCUCACAGGCUGUGGGGCUCAGUGACUGAUAACGAGAAUCUGCC